GUCAGGAUGGCCGAGUGGUCUUUAAGGCGCUAGACUUAAGUUUUGGUCCUUGUGAGAGGGCGUGGGUUCAAAUCCCACUUCUGACA